rnacentral:rRNA from 1 species
CCCGACUGCUAUUUGGGUGAGAAUAAGCCAUGCGAGUUGAAUGGGAUACCUAAAGUUCCCAUAGCAAACUGCUCAGUAACACAUGAUCAACUUACCCUAUAGAGAAAAAUAACCUCGGGAAACUGAGGAUAAUGUUUCAUAAUUGAAUUGGCUUGGAAAAGUUUUUCAAUGAAAAGGAUAAAAAAAAUGGUUUUUAUCUGCUAUAGGAUAGGAUCGUGUUCGAUUAUGGUAGUUGGUGAGAUAAUGGCUCACCAAGCCGAUAAUCGAUAGGGGCCGUGAGAGCGGGAGCCCCGAGAUGGGUACUGAGACAACGACCCAGGCCUUACGAGGCGCAGCAGGCGCGGAACCUCCGCAAUACACGAAAGUGUGACGGGGUUACCCCAAAGUGUUCAAUUGAACUGUGGUAGGUGAGUAAUGUCCCCUACUAGAAAGGAGAGGGCAAGGGCUGGUGCCAGCCGCCGCGGUAAAACCAGCUCUUCAAGUGGUCGGGAUAAUUAUUGGGCUUAAAGUGUCCGUAGCCAGGUUUAGUAAAUUCCUGGUAAAAUCGGGUAGCUUAACUAUCUGCAUGCUAGGAAUACUGCUAUACUAGAGGGCGGGAGAGGUCUGAGGUACUACAGGGGUAGGGGUGAAAUCUUAUAAUCCUUGUAGGGCCACCAGUGGCGAAGGCGUCAGACUGGAACGCGCCUGACGGUGAGGGACGAAAGCCAGGGGAGCGAACCGGAUUAGAUACCCGGGUAGUCCUGGCCGUAAACGAUGCAUACUAGGUGAUGGUACGGCCAUGAGCCGUAUCAGUGCCGUAGGGAAACCGUUAAGUGUGCCGCCUGGGAAGUACGGUCGCAAGGCUAAAACUUAAAGGAAUUGGCGGGGGAGCACCACAAGGGGUGAAGCCUGCGGUUC